rnacentral:lncRNA from 1 species
AUGACUUGUAUCCGAGCUCGUCCCAGGAUGAGGGAAGCCCAGGCAGGAAGCCGCAUCCUUCCGUCGCCAUCACUCACCCCGUAAAUUAAAAUGCAAAAUCAUCUACGGGAUGCUGCUCUGGCUCAUGGUCUGGCCAUGUCUUGUUUGAACUUCUCCAGUGUCAUCUUGUCCCAGCCUCCUCUCACUGGCAGAGUGAUCGUGUGGAGGUGGAAAGUCUUCUGUGUCCCCAGAACCCUCUGUGGCUCCUCAUCUCCUCACCGUCCGCAGGAGGAUCCCUGGUUGCUCAUGGUCUUUGUUUCUCAGAGUUUCUGAAAGCUUGUACUCUCUUUGCUUUUCAUUCUUCCUCUAGAAGAAACACACAGGCCCCAGUUCACUCCUUCAUGUUCUUGACUUGUGGAGAGGGGCUGCUUUUGACCAUAAGGUGUUUCUGGAACUCUCCAUCAUGUGACCCUACACAAUGCCUCUUCUGGGGUGACAUCUAACAGAAACAUCAUCUUCCAGUCUCUUUCUGUCCAAUUAGACUGCAGACACCCCCUUGCCCAGGGCAGUGGCUGGGUUCACUUCACCUCCCCCUCGUAGGUGCCCCAGGAAGGUUUGGAUCGGGUCUGAACUGAAGCACAAGCAUAAAGAGCUCCACGCCAGAGGCGUGUCCCCAUCACUGCAGCACUCCGGCGACACUGCCACUCAUGUCCUACGUUUUUGCUCCGUGUUCUGUUUCUCUGGCUACAUUGUGGGUUGAAAAUGGUCUAUUCACCCUCAUCUGUUGUCAACAAACUGAAGGGCUGUGCUUGUGGAAUAAAUUCAUACAUGAAUGAAUGAAAUAAUUCCAUAUCUCAUUACUUCUUCAGUUUGGUUCCCCAAAUUUAAGUUGCCUUUUUUUUUCCUAAUUGUUGGACUAGCUUAGUAUUAUGUUAAUAUUAUGAUAUUAUACUGUGGUGGCUUUAUAAGUAUAAUUAUGCUCAUAACUGAAAUGCUUUUUUCUCAAACAAAUCUAACUACAUUUUGAUUAUAUAUAUUGAACAUAUAUAGAAAACAACUAUGAAAUAAAAUACAGGCAGAUUUCGUUCUUCUUCAAUAAAAUAGAAUAAUACCCACACACAGGAUGCAGGGCAUCUGGGUUCUCUCCACUCUGGCUCUGUCUAGUUUUGUGGCAAGUUAGUUAACCUCCUCAUGCCUCAGUUUGCUCAACUGUAAAAUGAGGGGAUUAUACUAAAUUGUUAGUGUUAUUUCCUACUUUAAAAUGCUAUUUUUCUCUCUGUGUGGGUUUUUUUUUUUUCAAUUUUAACUUGAUUUUCAAGUUUACUUGACAGUUGUGGAUGUUCUCGAUACCACAUGGGAAUGCUUUCAAACCCAUUGCACUAUGAAAAAUCAUGUGGAACUUUUACUCAAUGCCAAAAACAUCUUAAUUACCUGCUGUCUUUUAGAAUAUUCUUCCCAGCGGACACAUAUUGGCAGGGGGCUGAUGGAGGUAAGAAGCCAAAGAGAAGGAUGAGAAGACAAUUUUCCUAAAACCCCACAUCUGAGAUGCAAUUAUUUUCUGUUGGUUCAUGCAAUUUUAUUCCCCAAACCUGUUUCCCUAAUUAAGCAAAGAAGCCUUUUGGCAAAUACAGAGCACGUAGAAAUGAAAAAUAAUCAGCAUAAAACAGUGUAGGAAGCACCAUUCCAAAUGUAGAGUCCACAUUGGCAAUAUGGCUGCCCCAGAAGGACUCGUGAAACAUGCACAGCUAUGUCUUUCUGGUAAAGCUGGGAGGAUGCCCACUCUAGCUAGAAAGAGAGGUUUUUGGAAUGUUAGUUCAAGUAAAAACACACAGCAUAACAGAUAGGCAUUUAUUUUUCAGCAAACAAGAGUCUAAUUGACUUUAUUGCUUUCCUUGGAAGGCCCAGUAAAUCACAGAAAGUCAGCCACGAGUAAAAAUCCAACAUCAAAUGGAAGGCAUAUAAUAACGUCUUUGGUUGCCCAAAGUAAUACCUAACUAUUGAAGUCAUAUCCUUAUUUUUUUUAAAGUAGAAUAAUAUCUACAUUAAAAAAAAUCUCAUAAAAGGUUAUUUGGUCUCCCUACUGUGGUUUUCCCUUCCAUUUCAUACUCUUUCCCACUUUUGGUUUAAUUCUUAUUCUUUUUAUUUUUUUUAAUUGUGGAAAAAUACACCUAAUCAAAAACUUACCAUUUUUAACUGUUUUCAAGUGUAUAAUUUGGUUCAUUUAAGCACAUUCACUUUGCUGUGCAAUGGUCAACACCACCCAUCAGUUCAUCUCUUCAUACCUUGUCCUUAUUUGGAAGGAUCUGCAGUGAUAUCACGCCCACCCCUCUGCUGCCCUGUCACCUGCUGGAUGAGAAAGUCUGAUGAGUCAAACACUCAGCCUCUUCAGGGUGUGGUUGUGUCC